GGUACUGAGGAGGUACAAGCGGGGAAAGAUGGUAAUUCUGUGUCAUAAUCCCUUGGGUCCAUCCCAGGACCUAAGGGAAAGUGUAAGGGAAGAUUUGAUGUGAGGGGGUGGGGAGGUGGGCAGAAGUCUGGGGGAGGAACUGGCAAAGGAGGUUCUCAGUCAAUAAAAGAAAAAAACAGACCAAAGUUCUUUUAGGUUGGAAAAAAGCACAUGGUGGUGGAGUUGGGAGUGUGGAGGGAACUGGGAAAUUAGUCAAAUUUUCUGUUGAGUUGAAUUAAGGUAGAAAUUUAGUGUUGGAUAAAUUUUUCCUCUUGAAGGAUCUGGAAAGACAAGGCAGUAACGUGUGCUUAUGGAUGCUUAUUAGGAGGGGGCUGGCUUAAAUCAGUUUAGUGAGAUGGGAAAGGGAGAAACUUAAAAGGGGAAUCUUCUUCCUCUUGAGUUUGAUUUCCUUCUAAACAGCUAUCUGUCAUCCCUUCUAGUUCGAUAGGAGAUUGCCAAUUGCCCCCUAUCUUUUUCUCAUCCUUUUUGAGGGCUGAGCUAAGAAGGUUGUGAUUUUUUUUUUAAGACUUUAAUUUUAUUAAAAAACAACGACAACAACAAAAGUUCCCUCUGGGGAAGGCAAGAGAAUGAUGAGAAGAGCAGCUGUGUGUGUUGAAUUUUCUCCAGGUGAAUUGGUACAGAGGUGAUCUUUUUUUAACUACUAGCAAUAACCACAUAUUGGGGUUUGAGUGCGCCUUGGGAGAGGGGUGGGAGGAGGACAGACUUUUGGCCAGACUGUUUCAAACAAAACCAAAAACCUAAAUAGAGCACUACCAUCCUCUGCUGCUGUGUUUCUGUAGAAAGCAACUUAUUUUUUGGAAUUUUUUUUUUUUUUAAAGAAAAGAAACAAAAAGACCCCAGCAAGCAAAAACAUUUUAAAAAAUAUUUUUUUUUCCUCCUAUUUAAGUGAUUCUUUCUCCUUCCUCUCUACUUUUGGAGAAUGAACUUAACGUCCCGGCUUCUUUUGUUAAGCCAUAGCUGACCUUAAUCUGUGGUUAGUUUAUUAAAAUAAUAAAAAUACUUUGUAAGAAGAGAUAUUUUUGAUAAUAGGACUGAUGUUGAAACUUGGGGUAGGGGUUAGGGGCAAUUUAUAAAAAGGUAGAGAAAUAUAUUUUAGUGAACUAUAACCACAGAUCACAGAUUACUCCCAAUGAGCUGAUCUGUCUUUGGGUUCCCCCUCCCCCCCCGCUGCCCCCCCCAUCCUUUUCCCCAGAGGGUGGGAGUGGGUCUGUGGACACAGUAGCGGGGAGCUCCUUUGCAUUUUGCACAAAGCACAAGUCUGGACAGCCUAUGCUCUGGCCAGCACCAUUUCUAAGAGCUUUAAACUGGAGGACCUAUCCUGGGCCAAUUUUCCCUUUUCUUUAAAUUUUUUUUUUCUGGGGGGAAAAAAAAUCAACUAUGCAAUUGUAUACACUCCUGGGUGCAUAUGAGGAAGGGGAAUAAGUGUACUUAAGUGUCCAGAGUGUUAAUUGGGGCUAUUUUUCUGUAUUUGGAUUUCUCUUUUGAGGUAUGUACUCAUAAACCAUCCUGUGGAAUGUAAUCCCCACAUUUGAUCCAAGGCAGACAUGGGCUGGGUAUGUGUGUUAGGGGGACUCGUAUUUGCCCUGUGUUGCUUCUGCCCAAUCAGGAAAGUUGUCAUCCCAUCUCCCCCUUGGUAACAAAGCCAGCCAAGACUGUCCUAUUCAUUGGAACUGCUCACAAUUUAGAAAGUUUCCUUUCUCCUCAACAAACUUGAAAAGUCACUUAUUUUCUAAAUCUGAUUGUUGACUUAAUAAUUUCCAUAGCUGUUAAUUCUUAGGCUUUUAUUUGAAAACAAACCUGGUGUUAAGGAAGCAAUGAGAUGAGGUCAAAGGAGAUAGGUUCCAAAGGAGGGUGGAGGGUAUGUAUAUAUUUCUGGGCAGGACUGGGACUAGUGUGAGACAAGCACGCCCCUCAGGUUCAAAACUUAAGGAGAUACCAAAAACUUAGUAAUCAAGAUAAAUACUGUUUUAAUGCAAUAUUUUAAAAAAUUAAUGCAAAAAAUCCAUGAUAAGCAAAAUAUCAGAAUCUUAAAUAAGACAGAAUCCAACAGGACUGGGGUUAGAGUGAGGGUAGGAACGCUGAAUUGAGCAAGUACGGGUUGAAUCCUGUCUUUAUUUAAAAUUUUGAUACUUUAGUCAUUGUGGAUUUUUUUACAUUAGUUUCGAUUUUCAAAAUAUACUGUGUUAACAUAGUAUCUUGGUUACUGGGUUUUGGGGCACUCCUUAAAUUUUGUGCCCAAAGUGAGUGCCUUGCUCACCUUACCCUGUUUCCGGGGUUAGAACAACAUUGGUGAGACCACCACCUUAUGAACUUCGUCCCCUAACAUGCACCCAAACAACAGGUGGCUCAAACCCACACCAAGAAUUUGCAUAGCUCACCUAGCUUUCCCAUAGGCAUCCAUCUAUAUCAUAGGAUUUUGGCCUGGACCAAUAGAAAUGGAAACAGACCAGGGACUUUCCCAGAGAAUAAAACCAGGAAAGUUGAUUCUCCACUGGACUGCUGUGUUUGGAUUUGACCUGUUAUUAGAUUCUAGUUAAUACUUUUGUUUUUAAAAACUGAGGACAAAUGAACAAAAAUGGAAACCUUGUGUCAUUUUUGCUUUUGUUCUGAUUUAUAAAUGAAUCGAUCCCAAUUGCUUUUGACUUCUUUUCAAAUAAAAAAGGUGGAAAUUCUCGUGGGUGGCCUAGGGGUGAAUAUGGUAAAAUAGGGCUUUAUUUAGGCCCUCUAGCUUUUUCAUUAAGAAAUACAUUUCUUUUUUUAAUUUGGGAAGGUAACUAUUUAUUGACACAUU
rnacentral:lncRNA from 1 species